rnacentral:rRNA from 1 species
GACGAACGCUGGCGGCGUGCUUAACACAUGCAAGUCGAACGGAAAGGCCCUGCUUUUGUGGGGUGCUCGAGUGGCGAACGGGUGAGUAACACGUGAGUAACCUGCCCUUGACUUUGGGAUAACUUCAGGAAACUGGGGCUAAUACCGGAUAGGAGCUCCUGCUGCAUGGUGGUGGUUGGAAAGUUUCGGCGGUGGUGGAUGGUCUCGCGGCUUAUCCGCUGGUUGGUGGGGUAGUGGAUUUCCAAGGCUUUGACGGGUAGCCGGCAUGAGAGGGUGGCCGGCCACAUUGGGACUGAGAUACGGCGCAGACUCCUACGGGAGGCAGCAGUGGGGAAUAUUGCACAAUGGGCGGAAGCCUGAUGCAGCAACGCCGCGUGCGGGAUGACGGCCUUCGGGUUGUAAACCGCUUUCGCCUGUGACGAAGCGUGAGUGACGGUAAUGGGUAAAGAAGCACCGGCUAACUACGUG